rnacentral:rRNA from 1 species
CUAGGGAAACUGGGUCUAAUACCGGAUAGGAGCCAUUUUUAGUGUGAUGGUUGGAAAGUUUUUUCGGUGCAGGAUGAGCUCGCGGCCUAUCAGCUUGUUGGUGGGGUAAUGGCCUACCAAGGCGGCGACGGGUAGCCGGCCUGAGAGGGUGGACGGCCACAUUGGGACUGAGAUACGGCCCAG